rnacentral:piRNA from 1 species
UGACAGUCACAGAAACGAUGGCAGACUGC